rnacentral:rRNA from 1 species
GACGAACGCUGGCGGCGUGCUUAACACAUGCAAGUCGAACGGUGAAGCUCCAGCUUGCUGGAGUGGAUCAGUGGCGAACGGGUGAGUAACACGUGAGCAACCUGCCCCUGACUCUGGAAUAAGCGCUGGAAACGGCGGCUAAUACUGGAUACGAGAAGGGCCCGCAUGGGCACUUUCUGGAAAGUUUUUCGGUUGGGGAUGGGCUCGCGGCCUAUCAGCUUGUUGGUGAGGUAAUGGCUCACCAAGGCGACGACGGGUAGCCGGCCUGAGAGGGCGACCGGCCACACUGGGACUGAGACACGGCCCAGACUCCUACGGGAGGCAGCAGUGGGGAAUAUUGCACAAUGGGCGAAAGCCUGAUGCAGCGACGCCGCGUGAGGGAUGACGGCCUUCGGGUUGUAAACCUCUUUCAGCAGGGAAGAAGCGAAAGUGACGGUACCUGCAGAAGAAGCACCGGCUAACUACGUG